rnacentral:rRNA from 1 species
GUCCACGCUGUAAACGAUGAGUGCUAGGCGUCGGCAAGCUUGCUUGUCGGUGCCGCAGCUAACGCGUGAAGCACUCCGCCUGGGGAGUACGGUCGCAAGAUUAAAACUCAAAGGAAUUGACGGGGGCCCCGCACAAGCGGUGGAGCAUGUGGUUUAAUUCGACGCAACGCGCAGAACCUUACCAGCCCUUGACAUCCCGUGACCGGCUCAGAGAUGGGUUUUCCCAGCAAUGGGCACGGAGACAGGUGCUGCAUGGCUGUCGU